UCUGGGGAGAAAGGCGGGGGCUGUGACGUGGGGGCUGAGGAAGGGCUAAGGCGGGAGGGGCGCCUCAUCCCUUCACCCUCCCUUUCGCUAUGUGGGGGCCCUGAGCGCCGCCCCAGAAGAGGUCGAGGGAAUGUUGUGGGCUGGGGCACACCGGCAGGGCAGAAACUGGAGAAAGCGAGAGACGUCGCCAGGCACCCAGGGACCUCUCCCUCCAGUUGCCCGGGCCCGCCCGGCCCUGCUCGCCACUCCCGCUAUAGCGCCCACUCUGUCCCGGGCCGUCCCGCGCCAGCAGUGUAGCCCCCAGCCCGGGCGCCUGAACGCUCUCCCUCCGGAUCGCUGCUCGGGUCCCCACUUUGGCGACCGUGCCCCCGAGUCCUGCUUCCCCGGGGCCUGCUCUAGAUCAGGCGCCUGCGCCUUCAAGGGUACCCGGCCCACAAAGGCCGAGUUUGCACUCCUCCCGGAAUCGUUUGAGAGGACAAACUUUUGAGAGGAUGGAAAUCUAGAGGAGCCGUCCGGAGCAGGAUUGAUGGAGUGACAGCAGUUUGGCAAGGCUUCCCUAAGCCUGUAAUAGGGAGCUGUGGACCCAGCCCUGACUUCUCAAGUAGGGGGAAACAGCUCUAUUCCCGGGCCCUUGAGAUUGAGUCUCAAGUUGAGAGGAGUUGAGAAAGAAAUGCAUGAAAGACGGCUGGGCUUACACAGGACAAAAACCUCUACUGGGGAGGGGCCAGUUUUAUGCCUUGUGCCUACUGCCGAGAGGGAAUUUAGAAACAAAGGAAGAUAAGAAGAAGGCCUAGGGAAACAGCAUAAAGGACUGGAAAAAUUCAGAACAACAAAGAGAAGAGACUGGGAGAGAGGAAAAGAUAUGAAAAGGCCCUAACGCUGGAGACAGAAAGAACAUUGGUCAUGGGAGGAAUGGGCUCCAGCAGCAGCACCUAGCAUCAUCAAGCACCUGCUCUCUGCCAGGCACUGUGCUGGGCACUAGGAACACAGAGAAGAGCAAGGAGGUCCAUGUCAUCAAGGCACUGACAGUCUGGAUGGGAAAAGAAACCACAGAUCUUUACAAAGCAAGGAUCAUAUCCUUUCCCUUCACAUCCAGAGAAGAGAAGAGGAUCCAUAAGGGGGCAUUCCCAGCUCCUUGAUGGUUUGCUGUGUGACUGUCCAAAAAUGUCUCUACAUCUCUGUUCUUCUGGCACUAUAAGCUGAAGUUGGUUCCCAAAGAUGGUUCCCAGGUCACGGGAAGAAUAGGAGAGGGAAUUUCAGAACCAAAUUUCUGUCUAAGAAAGAAACAAUUAUCUAAGAAAUUGUAAGUGGAAUUGGACUGAACGUGGAUGAGUCAGGGCUCUUGAAAAAGAAAGUGGCUAUCCCUCUUUUGAGUCAGUUCUGCAAGAGUGGACAGAAACUUUUCCAGACUCCCAGGCCUCUCUGCUCCCUCAGAGCUUGAAAAGAUUAAAGUCAUUCCUCCUCAAGGUCUUCACUGAAACCCUGGAAAUCUUUUCUUCGAUUUUAAGAGAUUACAGUUCUUCCCAUUGUCCAGCCUCAGUCACUACUUGCUGUAGCAUGAGGUGGCUUCCCUGGAAGAAAGUGUACCAGUCCCGCUCAUUGGUCCUCUAAGACCUCCCGACAUUCCUCAAGACACUUCUGCCUCAUGAUGUCAGAAGAAGGGCUGUCAAAUAGAUUUUAAAACCCCAGGCUCGGCCAGGCGCGGUGGCUCACGCUUGUAAUCCCAGCACUUUGGGGGAUCACGAGGGCAGGAGAUCGAGACCAUCCUGGCUAACACGAUGAAACCCUGUCUCUAAUAAAAAUGCAAAAAAUUAACUGGGCAUCCUGGCAGACGCCUGUAGUCCCAGCUACUCGGGAGGCUGAGGCAGGAGAAUGGCGCGAACCCAGGAGGCGGAGCUUGCAGUGAGCCGAGAUCACACCACUGCCUGGCCAACAGAGCGAGACUCCAUCUCAAAAAAAACGACUUGGCUCCUCACCUGUAUUGUGGGAAUCCCGGCUUAAAUUUGACACGUGGAUGUUGAGCAAUAGAGGACAGACAAACAAAGGAAUCUCCAAACCCUGCAGGACCCAAGGCAGCAGCCCACGAGUGGAUCCUAAAGGAUUUUCAUCAGCCGCACGUCUGGGAUAACUAGAGCCUGACCCACAUUCUCUACUCCAGAGACAGACAGACCUGUUCCCCAACUUCCAGUGGUGCUGCUCAUGGAGACGCUGAGAUGGGACCCAAAGACCUGCUCCCGUCUUCUCUCCUGAGAGGCUUGCAGAAGCCCCUUUCUCAGAGUCACCCCUCCCAGGCUGAGGUGAAGAAGCUGAAAAGGGAAGGGCCAUAAUGCUAAGGCUGGGGCAGGGGACAGCGGCACCCUCCAUGCACUCUCCUGAUUAGUGCAGGUAAACAUAAGGGUUUCCCCCAAAUGCGAGGGUUCUCCUUCUGUGCCAUGGAAGGCCCCACCAGCACCUGCUGCCCCUCCUGUUCGUCCUCCCUCUCUUCAGCCCCACAAUUAACAAGAGCAAGUUGUUGAGGCAAGCUCUACCCCAGGCCUGCGUUAAGAAAUUUGGAUGGGAUAGGCCGGGCGCGGUGGCUCACGCCUGUAAUCCCAGCACUUUGGGAGGCCGAGAAGGGCGGAUCACGAGGUCAGGAGAUUGAGACUGUCCUGGCUAACAUGGUGAAACCCCGUCUUUACCAAAAAUACAAAAAAUUAGCCGGGCAUUGUGGUGAGCGCCUGUAGUCCCAGCUACUUAGGAGGCUGAGGCAGGAGAAUGGAGUGAACCUGGGAGGCGGAGGUUGCAGUGAGUCAAGAUCGCACCACUGCACUCCAGCCUGGGCGACAGAUCAAGACUCCAUCUCAAAAAAAAAAAAAAAAAAGAAAGAAAGAAAGAAAUUUGGGUGGGAGAGUAGAAGUAAGAGACAUUUCCUUAGUGUUUACUGCAAACCCCGCCAGGCUAGAGGUGCCAUAAUCUGCCCUGUAUCAGAUCCAGAGAGUCAUCCCACCAAAACCCCCCAGGAUGUAUGUGAGACCACCGGAAUCAUUGGCACUGGCAAAUAAGAAGAUGGCCAGUAAGCAAUCAACACUGAGUGCCCACUGCGUGCUUGGCACUGGGCCAGACUCUGCUGCGGGAGACUGGGGGAAAGGCCCAUUUCACUGGUCUUGCGUUCUACAUACCAUGUUAGGCCAGAGAGGUACAUAAUAAAAAUACUGGAGACUCUCAUGCUUGAGUAUAAUCCUAUAAUCUUAUUCCCACUCCCAUUCAGAUGUGUGGUCAUAUAUGAAUGUCAAGCACACAAGCUAGACAGAAGAAAGAACUUCCCUAGGUUGUCAGUGCUGUAGAGUAAAAUCAUCAGACUCGAAGGCUUCAUUCUUGGAAGGUGAUGAACCGGGAGAGCCCACGCUUUGCUGGGCCAGGAGUAAAGUAAGGCUCCUGUCUGAAGACAGGGGGAUGGUUGAGAUGACACAAGAUGCUACCCAGGAAAAGGCAGAGAGGUAAAGUUUCCAGUAGAUGGGCAUGAGGAGGAGGGACAGAUGGAUGGAGGGAUGGAGGGGUGCAGGGAGCAGUGCUGGAGAGAUGAAUGGUCUUGGCUGGACUGAUGGGCGAGGCCAAGAUAGAUGGAUGGCGGCUGAGGUUUGUUUACUGGCAGCCCCCAGCCCGCCAUCACCCAGGGGAGAGGAAUGGUGGCUGGCACAUCAGAGGGCUCUUAGGGAAGCUCAUGGAGAUGAUUUAGAUGGGAAUGAAUCAGCUCCAUAUGGAUUAAGUGUCCCCGCAAAUCCCAGGAUCUUACAGAUGAGGGGACGGGGCAAGGGCACUGAGGGGAGGGGAGAGAGUGGGGAAGCAGCGUGGAGCUGGUGCAGGGAAACACAGUCCUGGAGCCAGGGGAAGGGCACCCUCAGAGGGCAUGGGGCAGGUCAGCCUGGCACAGAUGCAGCCCCUGCCUUGGUCUGUUGAUACCAUUAUUCCUCUUGCGUGGUACCAAGCUUUAGGAAAAGGCCGCUUUCUCCACACCAAACCAUCUGUUGGAGUGUCCUUUCUGAGUCAGUUUUGGUCUGUCUCCUCUUGCCUCUGUCUCUUGUUCUGUCUACAUCUUCAUCUGUCUUUCGUCUUCAUUUUUCUGUCCCUCUCACUACCUAGCCUUGUCUGUGUUUCUGUCUCUCUCCUUCCGCACUCCUCCGCCACGUCUUUCCGUCUCUUUCUCUAGAGGUAUAAAUGGUACAGGGAUGCUGCCAGUUUCUCUGAACUUCAGCCUUAGCUCUGCCCUCCUCUCCAGGGGUCAGGUCUAAUGCCUCCCUCCCUCUGUACUGUUCUCUCACGCAGACCACAAGUUUGGAGGUGGUCAACAGAACAGGGAAGGUGGUCAGAAAAGUGACUUUUUGGCUACAGAAAGUUAUUUGUGUUCCUCUCUGCCACCCUGCCCUCGUGCCUUCAGCUGUCCCUUCUCCCGGUGCCAGAGGAGGCUUGGAUUGAGCACCCAUGCUCUAUGGACAACAUGUCUUCCCACUCAGGUUUGGAGAGGCUGUUCUGUCCACACCAGCCUGUAACUUCUUGCCUCCUUUCACCCCUCCACACCCACUUGCAUGGCUCUCUGAGGAACAGAGCCCCACCCUUCCAUCACCACCCUCCACCAACGCACCCCUGGGUGCUGGCAUAAUACGCAAGCUUCACAGAUGGCUUUUCUCAGCUGAAGCCCAGUCCCUGCUGCCACCACCCGGCCGCCAAGCAAGAGGGAAGGUGG